CGGGCACGGGAGCGAACGGGUCCGUGAGGCUCAGCUCAGUCCGAGGCAGAGCUGUUGGAAUGUUCUGGUGCACUAGCUCUCUUCAUCUUCUGCAUUCCUCUCCUACCUGUGAAAUCCUUCACUGCCACUGAUUUAACAUAUCUCUGCCAUGUCACCCACAUCCCAAGGGAGAACAGCUGUGAGCAGAAUGACUUGCCCAGUUCACCCCA